rnacentral:lncRNA from 1 species
AAGAAAAAUAUGAAUAAUUAGAUCUUAAAAGUUGGAUGCAAAAAUGUUUGAAAAUGAUCAAAAAUAAAAUGGAAAAUAAAAAUUAAAUGAAAAAUCAAGGAAAAUAUCAAUUAAAUACUAAAAUGAUUUUAAAAAUUAUGCAAAAAAUAUAUAUGACAAAAUAUUUCUAUGCAAUUUGUGUAUAAAAUUUGGAUCAAAAUGAAUUAAAAAUCAAUCAAAAUAAAGUCAGAAAAGAAAAAGAAAGUAAAAUGAAAAUAAAAAUAAAAAUAAAAAUCAAAUGAAAAAUGUUUGAAUUAGGGCGCCAACAACUACUUUAUUUGGAAAGGCGCUCGCAGGUCC